rnacentral:sRNA from 1 species
GUGCGGCCUAAAUUUUUACGGCGGCGCCCAUUAGAAAAUUACUUUAAAAAACAGGCGCAGCCACGAUUUCCCUGGUGUUGGCGCAGUAUUCGCGCACCCCGGUCUAGC